UACGUAAGGCAGCAGUGGGGAAUAUUGCACAAUGGGCGCAAGCCUGAUGCAGCCAUGCCGCGUGUAUGAAGAAGGCCUUCGGGUUGUAAAGUACUUUCAGUCGUGAAGAAGGUGUUAAGGUUAAUAACCUUAGCAAUUGACGUUAGCGACAGAAGAAGCACCGGCUAACUCCGUGCCAGCAGCCGCGGUAAUACGGAGGGUGCGAGCGUUAAUCGGAAUUACUGGGCGUAAAGGGCACGCAGGCGGUUAAUUAAGUUGGAUGUGAAAUCCCCGGGCUUAACCUGGGAAUGGCAUUCAAGACUGGUUAGCUAGAGUCUUGUAGAGGGGGUAGAAUUCCAUGUGUAGCGGUGAAAUGCGUAGAGAUGUGGAGGAAUACCGGGUGGCGAAGGCGGCCCCUGGGACAAAGACUGACGCUCAUGUGCGAAAGCGUGGGGAGCAAACAGGGAUUAGAUACC
rnacentral:rRNA from 1 species